rnacentral:rRNA from 1 species
AAGUCGGAGUCGCUAGUAAUCGCAGAUCAGCAUUGCUGCGGUGAAUACGUUCCCGGGCCUUGUACACACCGCCCGUCACGUCACGAAAGUCGGUAACACCCGAAGCCGGUGGCCCAACCCCUUGUGGGAGGGAAUCGUCGAAGGUGGGACUGGCGAUUGGGACGAAGUCGUAACAAGGUAGCCGUACCGGAAGGUGCGGCUGGAUCACCUCCUUUCUAAGGAG